UACGAAGGGGGCUAGCGUUGUUCGGAAUUAUUGGGCGUAAAGAGCUCGUAGGCGGUCUGUCACGUCGGCUGUGAAAUCCCGAGGCUCAACCUCGGGCCUGCAGUCGAUACGGGCAAACUAGAGUAUUGCAGGGGAGACUGGAAUUCCUGGUGUAGCGGUGAAAUGCGCAGAUAUCAGGAGGAACACCGGUGGCGAAGGCGGGUCUCUGGGCAAUAACUGACG
rnacentral:rRNA from 1 species